GUUUCAAAUGAUGAUUAUGGAUGUCAUUUUCUCACGACGGUCGUCUGAGAUUUUUCAACAUUAUAUUUUUCAAUUUUAUAUUUUGAAGGUA